CAGUCGCCGCGGUAAAACGAAGGGGGCUAGCGUUGUUCGGAAUUACUGGGCGUAAAGCGCACGUAGGCUGACAUUUAAGUCAGGGGUGAAAUCCCGGGGCUCAACCUCGGAACUGCCUUUGAUACUGGGUGUCUUGAGUGUGGAAGAGGUAAGUGGAAUUGCGAGUGUAGAGGUGAAAUUCGUAGAUAUUCGCAGGAACACCAGUGGCGAAGGCGGCUUACUGGUCCACAACUGACGCUGAGGUGCGAAAGCGUGGGGAGCAAACAGGAUUAGAUACCCGCGUAGUCCCUGUCUCUUAUAC
rnacentral:rRNA from 1 species